CCCUUCUCAAGAUCGCAUCUGGGGAGUUUCCAGCACUCUACCAGUCUCGACUACGGGAGGCAGAGUCAAGCAGGGGCAUAUUCAUUCCAUUUCUAGCUUGGGCAGAGGCUAGUGAAUGGAAGGCAAUCCGCUACAAAU